CCAUGGCUCAAUGGUAGAGCAACUGCUUUGAAUGCAGGAGGUCUCAGGUUCGACAGUGAAGUAAAUAUAUCUGCCUGAGACCUUGGAGAGA
rnacentral:tRNA from 1 species